GGAAAACAGAAAAAGGGCAAUAUCUAUACACAUCAUUUUACAAGGCUUGAUAACCUUAUCCAAAGGCAAGACUGGACAACAUACUUGGAAACCAAAGUAUAAGAAUGGAUGAAACUGUUGUGGUGUCAUGGAAACCUAGCCAUGGAAACCUUAUAGAAAUACCAGGAGAUUAAGGGAGAGAGUAUUAAAGAAAGCAUCAUAGAGACUGCUACCAACCGAUUCCUGUCAAUAUAAAAAUAUCCACUCUUAUCAUCCUAUUUUCAUGGACAGAAUCUCACUAUUUGGAAAAUCAGGCUUGCUAUGCUGCAGUUUUUCUGUACAAAUAGCUAAUAAACAACUUGGGAAACCAUCACUAA